GUAAACGAUGAGUAUUAGGUGUUGCCGAGAGGCAGUGCCGGAGUUAACACAAUAAAUACUCCGCCUGGGGAGUACGGUCGCAAGACUGAAACUCAAAGGAAUUGACGGGACCCCGCACAAGUAGCGGAGCAUGUGGUUUAAUUCGAAGCAACGCGAAGAACCUUACCAGGUCUUGACAUCCUCUGACGACACUAGAGAUAGUGUUUUCCUUUCGGGGACAGAGAGACAGGUGGUGCAUGGUUGUCGUCAGCUCGUGUCGUGAGAUGUUGGGUUAAGUCCCGCAACGAGCGCAACCCUUGUGUUUAGUUGCCAGCGGUAAGGCCGGGCACUCUAAACAGACUGCCGUAGAUAAUACGGAGGAAGGUGGGGAUGACGUCAAAUCAUCAUGCCCCUUAUGACCUGGGCUACACACGUGCUACAAUGGGAUGUACAGAGGGUAGCGAAAUAGCGAUAUGGAGCCAAUCUCAAAAAACAUUUCUCAGUUCGGAU
rnacentral:rRNA from 1 species